UACGAAGAGGGCUAGCGUUGUUCGGAAUUACUGGGCGUAAAGGGCUCGUAGGCGGCCAACUAAGUCAGACGUGAAAUCCCUCGGCUUAACCGGGGAACUGCGUCUGAUACUGGAUGGCUUGAGAUUGGGAGAGGGACGCGGAAUUCCAGGUGUAGCGGUGAAAUGCGUAGAUAUCGGGAGGAACACCAGUGGCGAAGGCGGUUACCUGGAGCUUUGCUGACGCUGAUGCGCGAAAGCGUGGGGAGCGAUCCGG
rnacentral:rRNA from 1 species